rnacentral:rRNA from 1 species
AGUGAACGCUGGCGGUAGGCCUAACACAUGCAAGUCGAACGGCAGCACAGUAAGAGCUUGCUCUUACGGGUGGCGAGUGGCGGACGGGUGAGGAAUACAUCGGAAUCUACUUUUUCGUGGGGGAUAACGUAGGGAAACUUACGCUAAUACCGCAUACGACCUACGGGUGAAAGCAGGGGAUCUUCGGACCUUGCGCGAUUGAAUGACCCGAUGUCGGAUUAGCUAGUUGGCGGGGUAAAGGCCCACCAAGGCGACGAUCCGUAGCUGGUCUGAGAGGAUGAUCAGCCACACUGGAACUGAGACACGGUCCAGACUCCUACGGGAAGCAGCAGUGGGGAAUAUUGGACAAUGGGCGCAAGCCUGAUCCAGCCAUACCGCGUGGGUGAAGAAGGCCUUCGGGUUGUAAAGCCCUUUUGUUGGGAAAGAAAAGCAGCAGGUUAAUACCCCGCUGCUCUGACGGUACCCAAAGAAUAAGCACCGGCUAACUUCGUG